GGCAUUAUUUCUCUGGUUAAACAAAUACUAUCUACUUAUUGCUAAUCUUUAUCCUAAUAUCUUUUCUCUGUCUUCAUUUAUGGUGGCCUUGGUGCCAUUGAGAUUUUCAAGAAAAUGAAUAUUGAGGAUCUGCAGAUAGGGGAUUAUCUUGCAAUUGGGGCAAUCUUUUCUGCCACAGAUUCUGUUUGCACUUUGCAAGUUCUUAAUCAAGAUGAAACACCUCAGUCUGGUUUUCGGGGAGGG